GACGUAGGGCGCGAGCGUUGUCCGGAUUUAUUGGGCGUAAAGAGCUCGUAGGCGGCUUGUCGCGUCGUCCGUGAAAACCUGCAGCUCAACUGCAGGCUUGCGGUCGAUACGGGCAGGCUAGAGUUCGGUAGGGGAGACUGGAAUCCCUGGUGUAGCGGUGAAAUGCGCAGAUAUCAGGAGGAACACCGGUGGCGAAGGCGGGUCUCUGGGCCGAUACUGACGCUGAGGAGCGAAAGCGUGGGGAGCGAACAGG
rnacentral:rRNA from 1 species